UACGGAGGGUGCAAGCGUUAUCCGGAUUCACUGGGCUUAAAGGGUGCGUAGGCGGAUAGGUAAGUCAGCGGUGAAGUCUCCGAGCUUAACUCGGAAACUGCCGUUGAUACUAUUUGUCUUGAAUACUGUGGAGGUAAGCGGAAUAUGUCAUGUAGCGGUGAAAUGCUUAGAUAUGACAUAGAACACCGAUUGCGAAGGCAGCUUACUACACAGCGAUUGACGCUGAGGCACGAAAGCGUGGGGAUCAAACAGG
rnacentral:rRNA from 1 species